UACGAAGGGGGCUAGCGUUGUCCGGAAUUAUUGGGCGUAAAGCGCGCGCAGGCGGUCUUUUAAGUCUGAUGUGAAAGCCCACGGCUCAACCGUGGAGGGUCAUUGGAAACUGGGGGACUUGAGUGCAGAAGAGGAAAGUGGAAUUCCAAGUGUAGCGGUGAAAUGCGUAGAGAUUUGGAGGAACACCAGUGGCGAAGGCGACUUUCUGGUCUGUAACUGACGCUGAGGCGCGAAAGCGUGGGGAGCAAACAGG
rnacentral:rRNA from 1 species